AAAAAAGAAGAAAGAACUGGGAUGACCUCCUUUUUCCCCAAUCCAAAAACGCACCAAACCUCCAUUAAUACCCACCUCCAAUUUCAGCCAUUAAACACCCAAAAACUAGCAAUCAAAUGCCAUCUUAACACCUCCAAUUUCGACCAUUAAACACCCAAAAACCAGCAAUCAAAUGCCACCUUAACACCUCUAAUUUCAGUCAUUAAACACCCAAAAACACAGCUGCCGAGUUUCACCAAAAAUCAGCAAAAAGUGGGUUCCCUUAACUGAAGCUAAAAGGGAUUCGAGAGGCAAGUUUGAGUUCGCCGUCACUGGUUUCCGAUGGUGGUCGCUGGUGUUUGGUCCGUUGGUUGAGUUGCAAAUCUUUAAAAUUCGGACUCAGCAAUAAAGGUCCGUUUCUUUCACACAUGUACCGUGUCUUCCUAGUUAGAUUCAUAGAUUUUGUUUGAAUGAUUAUUUCGUCAAGUUUAUAUAUUUAUGCGAGUUUUGAAUCCAUAACUCGAACUGAGUUUACCUAAAAGUUCCAUUUUGUUUUGUUAGUAUUUGAGGAAGUUUGGGAAUUCGUUAUUGUUAUUAUAUAUUAGCAUGUUGUUUGGUCGUUAUCUUGAUUAGUUAAUCCAUUAUUUUGAUGUUAUUUGAUUAGCUGCUUUGAGUUAGAUAAAUAAUGAUGAUAUUAGAGGCAAAGCUAUUCUUUUUACCGCUGAAUGUUUGAGGCCUUAAGUAGUUGAUAGUAUUGUUGCAUAGCUUCACUAUUUCCUCUCAAUUGGAAUUAAUAUCUAGGGAUUAAAUGGCUACAGUUAGCCGAAUCUUGGUAAAUACUUUUAGCUGGCCCAUUUUCCUCAUUUAGUCCACAAUAAAUAAUUGUUAGAUUACUCCAAAUAGCUAAAAACUUCAUGUACUUCAAACACCUCCAUAUCCAUCAUUCAAUAGCCUCAUAAUAAUCUCAAAUUAGUUUAGAAAAAUAAUUCAAGUACGCUAGUUGCUUUAGGCGUGCUUUACAUAAUUAAAUAUCAUGGCUAUAGGUACAAUUCCCGUGGCAUAGUUGGGAUACGUAACCCCAAAUAUAAGUGCGCAUUCACGCGACUUGACCAAUCAAAUUUUAAAUAGUAAUAAAUGUGUUAUUGAUUAUGUACGUACGCGUGACAUGAUUCAUGACACGCCGAAUAAAGUUAGUACACGUACGCGUGACUUAUUACAAGAUAAUUUUCAUAAAUCUAAUCAAGCAAUAAAAGCGGACAUAGGUAAAACAUGAAAACCAAUACAACACAGUUUAUCCAAAAAUAAUAUAAACCAAAUAUAGUUAGUAAAGCGACUGCACUAGAACCACGGGACUCGGGGAAUGUCUUACACCUUCUCCCCGGUCAACAGAAUUCCUUACCUGGACUUUAUUUUCGCAGACCAAUAAUAAUAUAGUCAAACCUUCCUUUGAUUAUGGAUUCAAAUAAAAGGUGACUUGGAACACCGAAAAAUCAAUUCCAAGUGGCGACUCUGCAAAUAAAAUAAUCCCUAUUCAAAUUUGUCACUUCAAUUGGAAAAACUCUUUAACCCACAACCCAUAAUACAUAUAUCUUUUGGGGGUAAAAAGGGGUGUGACAAUGUGAGGUCUUGAUUAUAUUCUAUGUUAUCCUAUGUUAGUGUAAAACUUGCCCCGUGUGUUAUUCGAAACGAAAUAAGUAAGCUUUGUGAGUCUUGGAGAUGAUGUAGGCGUUUCUUUGAUUGCCCAUUGAGCUAGUAUGCCACCAUAAAUAAAAUUAAUCCUUAGAUAGCCCAUUUGAGCCUAUAAACCUUUUCUUUGGCACCUACAUUACAAGCCGAUUCCCUUUUUGUUCUUAAUUAGAUCUUUUGAACCUUUACCUCCGAAAGCACUUUAGUCGCUAGAAGAGUAAGGUGAGAGUUGAGGUAGCUUUUGAGUGAAAUCACAAAAAGGCCAAAAGGUGCACGUAUGUUUUGAAAGAUCAUUAUUCUGGCAACCCAAGUAUGGAGAGUGUUGGAAAACACAAUAGAAAAUACACCUCCUAUUCCUUUUAAUCCGAUCUAGUGAAUGCAUAGUUGUGCUUAAAGAAGAAGGGCCAAAUUGUAUAUUAUUUCGUGGCAUUGCUUGAAUUGGUCAUGAAAAAUAUGUAUUUGAAAGUUAAGUGUACUGUAUUAAAGUGCUUAGGAGGGUUAGUCACUAUACCCAAAUAUAUCCUACUCAUCCCUUAGCCUACAUUAUAACCUGGAAAGACCUAAUUGAUCCUAAACUUCGCAAGCUUAAAUUAGUAGAGACAUACACUACGGGCAAACUUAUGGAACGACCUCAGAAUGCACAUAAAUUUCUUUGAGAGAGUGAGCGAAUUCUUUCGAUUUGUAAGUCCUUAAAUUAUACUUAAAUACAUAUUUGAGUGUGUGAACUAAUUUCUCUCUUUGGUUUGUGGUGAGGGCACAUGAUUUAUAAAUGAUUGGUAAAGCCCAAGCAUUUUGAGUUGACACAACAAGUGAGUCAUAGUAGGGAAUGUAUUGGAGUCAUCUUUUAAGGUUAGGAUAUUAGAAGAAGUCGCACAAAUAUUUUAAAUAGUCUUGGCAUGGGUCUACUUUUGAAGUAAGAUGUCAGUAGUUCUUAUAUCGAGUUCUAAGUGUUGGUAUAAGCCAUUGUCAUUGGUAUGAUGCUUGAGUAUAUUUCGAAAAUGUGUUUCUUGCCAUUGUGCUUAAUUUUGAAAGUUGCUCGAGGACGAGCAAAAGUUUAAGUGUGGGGUGUUGAUAAACGGCCAAAAAUACAUAUUUUUCGGUGUACUUUCAUCUCAUAACUUAUGUGGUUGCGGUAGGUUACAUGAGUUUUUGUACUGAAUUAUGCUCAUUACGUGCAUUCUUAUGUUAAGGAGCAAGUUGGACAAAAAGUGAGCAAAAGAAGUUGAUUCGGGACCAAAAGACAAAAGAAGAACUUUGCUCGUUCAUUCUCGCGUGUACACAAGAGAGUGAAUGAGCUAGCUGAGGAAAAGCUUGAGAAAAAAUAACGGAUUAUGGCAAAAAGAUAUGGAAGUGCACGAGAGACCUAGAAGGAAAAGAAAAAGAGAAGCACUUCGCUCGUUCACUCUAGCGUGCACACGAGAGAGUGAAUGAGCUAACCUAAAAAAGUUGUUCCGAAGUGGGCUUGUAUUAUUUCACCCCAUGCAAACCCUAUCACAUAUAAAUAGUCCUUAAACUCACUUUUGAUAGGGGAUUGGACGUUUUUAGAGAGGAUUAUCGACCGAAGGAGGCAAGAACACACUAGGAGCAAGGCGGAGA
rnacentral:lncRNA from 1 species